rnacentral:sRNA from 1 species
AAGAAAGUGACUGCCGCCCCGCAUAGGGGCAACGCUAAUAGACCACUAAGAAAACGGGAAGUCCAUAGAAGCGCAAGCCGACCACCGAACCCACCCCACCCCCUC